UUAGCUCAGUUGGUUAGAGCACCUGACUGUUAAUCAGGGGGUCGAAGGUUCAAGUCCUUCA
rnacentral:tRNA from 3 species